AUUGAACGCUGGCGGCAGGCCUAACACAUGCAAGUCGAGCGGUAGCACAGAGAGCUUGCUCUCGGGUGACGAGCGGCGGACGGGUGAGUAAUGUCUGGGAAACUGCCUGAUGGAGGGGGAUAACUACUGGAAACGGUAGCUAAUACCGCAUAACGUCGCAAGACCAAAGUGGGGGACCUUCGGGCCUCAUGCCAUCAGAUGUGCCCAGAUGGGAUUAGCUAGUAGGUGGGGUAACGGCUCACCUAGGCGACGAUCCCUAGCUGGUCUGAGAGGAUGACCAGCCACACUGGAACUGAGACACGGUCCAGACUCCUACGGGAGGCAGCAGUGGGGAAUAUUGCACAAUGGGCGCAAGCCUGAUGCAGCCAUGCCGCGUGUGUGAAGAAGGCCUUCGGGUUGUAAAGCACUUUCAGCGGGGAGGAAGGCGGUGAGGUUAAUAACCUCACCGAUUGACGUUACCCGCAGAAGAAGCACCGGCUAACUCCGUGCCAGCAGCCGCGGUAAUACGGAGGGUGCAAGCGUUAAUCGGAAUUACUGGGCGUAAAGCGCACGCAGGCGGUCUGUCAAGUCGGAUGUGAAAUCCCCGGGCUCAACCUGGGAACUGCAUUCGAAACUGGCAGGCUAGAGUCUUGUAGAGGGGGGUAGAAUUCCAGGUGUAGCGGUGAAAUGCGUAGAGAUCUGGAGGAAUACCGGUGGCGAAGGCGGCCCCCUGGACAAAGACUGACGCUCAGGUGCGAAAGCGUGGGGAGCAGACAGGAUUAGAUACCCUGGUAGUCCACGCUGUAAACGAUGUCGAUUUGGAGGUUGUGCCCUUGAGGCGUGGCUUCCGGAGCUAACGCGUUAAAUCGACCGCCUGGGGAGUACGGCCGCAAGGUUAAAACUCAAAUGAAUUGACGGGGGCCCGCACAAGCGGUGGAGCAUGUGGUUUAAUUCGAUGCAACGCGAAGAACCUUACCUGGUCUUGACAUCCACAGAACUUUCCAGAGAUGGAUUGGUGCCUUCGGGAACUGUGAGACAGGUGCUGCAUGGCUGUCGUCAGCUCGUGUUGUGAAAUGUUGGGUUAAGUCCCGCAACGAGCGCAACCCUUAUCCUUUGUUGCCAGCGGUCCGGCCGGGAACUCAAAGGAGACUGCCAGUGAUAAACUGGAGGAAGGUGGGGAUGACGUCAAGUCAUCAUGGCCCUUACGACCAGGGCUACACACGUGCUACAAUGGCAUAUACAAAGAGAAGCGACCUCGCGAGAGCAAGCGGACCUCAUAAAGUAUGUCGUAGUCCGGAUUGGAGUCUGCAGCUCGACUCCAUGAAGUCGGAAUCGCUAGUAAUCGUAGAUCAGAAUGCUACGGUGAAUACGUUCCCGGGCCU
rnacentral:rRNA from 1 species